rnacentral:rRNA from 1 species
UACAGAGGUCCCGAGCGUUGUUCGGAUUCACUGGGCGUAAAGGGUGCGUAGGCGGGUCUUUAAGUCAGGGGUGAAAUCCUGGAGCUCAACUCCAGAACUGCCUUUGAUACUGAAGAUCUUGAGUCCGGGAGAGGCGCGUGGAAUUGCAGGUGUAGCGGUGAAAUGCGUAGAUAUCUGCAGGAACACCCGUGGCGAAAGCGGCGCGCUGGACCACUACUGACGCUGAGGAACGAAAGCUAGGGGAGCAAACGGGAUUAGAACCCGUAC